GAUGAACGCUGACAGAAUGCUUAACACAUGCAAGUCGAUUCGAUUUACCUUCGGGUAUUGAGGAUGGCGGACGGGUGAGUAACGCGUAAGGAACUUGCCUCUUGGUCUGGGACAACUGUUGGAAACGACAGCUAAUACCGGAUAUUAUGAGAUUCUCGCAUGGGAAACUUAUGAAAGCUAUAUGCGCCAAGAGAGAGCCUUGCGUUCCAUUAGCUAGUUGGUGGGGUAACGGCCCACCAAGGCGACGAUGGAUAGCCGGCCUGAGAGGGUGAACGGCCACAAGGGGACUGAGACACGGCCCUUACUCCUACGGGAGGCAGCAGUGGGGAAUAUUGGACAAUGGGCCACAAGCCUGAUCCAGCAAUUCUGUGUGCACGAUGAAGGUCUUCGGAUUGUAAAGUGCUUUCAGUUGGGAAGAAGAAAGUGACGGUACCAACAGAAGAAGCGACGGCUAAAUACGUGCCAGCAGCCGCGGUAAUACGUAUGUCGCAAGCGUUAUCCGGAUUUAUUGGGCGUAAAGCGCGUCUAGGCGGAAAAAUAAGUCUGAUGUUAAAAUGCGGGGCUCAACUCCGUAUUGCGUUGGAAACUGUUUUUCUAGAGUACUGGAGAGGUGG
rnacentral:rRNA from 1 species